rnacentral:lncRNA from 1 species
GUGCAUGCCUUAUUGUUCCUUGAAUAAAAAAUUGGGAGGCGCACACCUCAUUACUGCGCAUAUUCGAUUUCUGCAAAAUAAAACUUUCAAUAAUAAUUUAAACGAAAAGGCAGUAGAAGGCGUUCGCCUUAUUAUUCCUCAAAAGAAUUGAACGAUUGGUGUGCACCACAUUGCUCAAUCUUUUGUCGUUCCUCUUCAAAAUAUCAAACACGUUUAACCUAAUUCCUCGCCCCCGUGCGAUCGAAACUCUUUUAAAAAAGAACACUAUUUAAUCCUUUCUAACGCGCACAACAAACUAGUGCUUGAGCCUCCGCCGAGAGUAGACAAGCCAACGUUUAGCCUUUAGAACGUGAUCUAAACAGUCGUUCAUAAAAGACACCAACAAACCGUAGUCCCCGAACUACGAAUGCUAUGAUUUCCUUAUUGCACCAUAAGGAUACCUAGGCACGAGAUUCCGAGAUCUUGGCGAGCACACUAAUAAAAAACCUCCCUUUUCC